GCCUGUAAUCCCAGCACUUUGGGAGGCUGAGGUGGGUGGAUCACCUGAGCCCAGGAGUUUGAGAUCAGCCUGGGCAAGAUUGCAAGACCUGGUCUCUA